rnacentral:rRNA from 1 species
CAAGAUCAGAUGUCCCACUUCUCCAGAAGGUAAGACCCCCGGUAGACCACCGGGUACAGAGGCCAGAAAUGCAAGCCCAGCAAUGGGCUCAGUUGACUGGUCCUCAUCGGUCGAGGUCUUGACCAU